AGUAGGAAGUUAAUCACCAGGGGCCAGGCCUUGAAGGAAAUAGCUUGUUCCUGACCAUUUUCUCUCUGUCUCUUAUUGUCCUGGCUUUCUAAAGGUGGUCCUGGGAGGUAAAGGAAACGAGCUGAUCCAGUUGGGACAGAUGGCCCUCUACCUUGUAGGCAGCAGGAGCCACAGUAGCAGGAACAUUUUGACAACAUCUCCACUCAGCGUGAGAAGGAAGCCUUCUCUGUGAGGCCUUGACAAUGGGCCCAUAGAGCAUCAGGAAUAAGGGAGAGGUGGACACGACCUAAGGUGACCUCACUUCCAAUGCAUGUUGGUGUGCAGAAAUAAAUGCUGACUUCUGCCAUACA
rnacentral:lncRNA from 1 species